rnacentral:rRNA from 1 species
GAUGAACGCUGGCGGCGUGCCUAAUACAUGCAAGUCGAGCGAAGCGGGGACGGGUGAGUAACACGUGGAUAACCUCCUAUAAGACUGGGAUAAAUUCGGAAAACCUGAGCUAAACAGGAUACUUAUAGAAGGAUCCGACCUGCAUUAGCUAGUUGGUAAGGUACCGGCCUACCAAGGUGACGAUGCAUAGCCGACCUGAGAGGGUGAUCGGCCACACUGUAACUGGUCCACGGUCCAGACUCCUACGGGAGGCAGCAGUAGGGAAUCGUCCGCAAUGGGCGAAAGCCUGACGGAGCAACGCCGCGUGAGGGAUGAAGGUCUUCGGAUCGUAAAACUCUGUUAUUAGGGAAGCGGUACCUAAGCAGAAAGCCACGGCUAACUACGUGCCAGCAGCCGCGGUAAUAC